AACAUAGAGGAAGGUGGGGAUGACGUCAAAUCAUCAUGCCCCUUAUGUCUAGGGCUACACACGUGCUACAAUGGCUGGUACAACGAGCAGCAAACCCGCGAGGGGGAGCAAAACUUGAAAGCCAGUCUCAGUUCGGAUUGUAGGCUGAAACUCGCCUACAUGAAGUUGGAGUUGCUAGUAAUCGCGAAUCAGCAUGUCGCGGUGAAUACGUUCCCGGGUCUUGUACACACCGCCCGUCACACCAUGAGAGCCGGUAACACCCGAAGCCCGUGAGGUAACCGUAAGGAGCCAGCGGUCGAAGGUGGGAUUGGUGAUUGGGGUGAAGUCGUAACAAGGUAGCCGUAGGAGAACCUGCGGCUGGAUCACCUCCUUUCUAGGGA
rnacentral:rRNA from 1 species